CUGAGGUCUAAGGACGGAGGGCAGGGAACCGCCUGAGCCCCACCUGGGAGGGGGAGCUCGGUGCCGGAGAGCAGUGCCAGGACCUGCGAUGGGAGAGGUGUGCAGCCCCGAGGGGUCACUGAUGAGGCAGACGGGUCAGUUGGGUUGACACUCAGAGGGUCCUCAGGGGCAGACGCUGAGACGGGGUUUGGGGUUUGGGGUGCAGAGUGAGUACUGGUGAUCAGCACCUGGGAAGGGGUGGGGAGGGUGCAGGGCCGGGCAGGGACUGUAGGGGCGGCCUGCGUUGGGCUUGGCUGGCACAGCCUUUGUGGCUUGCUUGGACCCAUAUGCAGCCGCCCAGGGACGGGAGACCCUGGUGAGGUGUCUGUGGUCCAGGCCCACCCUGAAGGAGCCGUGGGGCCGACUGCCGACCACGCCUGACAGCACGGCCUUCCAGGUCACCCGCUUCCCUCUAGGCUGGCCUGACCCAGCUCACCUCAUUCUCAACCUCACCAGUCAACACCGGUCAACAUCAGUCACAGAGCGUCUGAAAGGAGGAAUUUUCAUUUUCCUUUAAAGUGAAAAGGUAAAAACUGCAUUUACUAAACCAGGCCGGUGGGGGCUCUGUGAGCCCCUCUGCACAGGAAGCCUCAGAGACGCUGCAUGGUGUUCCCGGGGCAUCCUGGCCAAGGUGGGAGAACGCAGCCUCCGUGAGGACCCGCGGGAUGCCCUCGGGGGCCGCCUCCUGGUUCUCGUCUCCUCUGAAGUGCAGACGACGCUGGCCCACAUCCUUGUCGGGCAGAGGGGCUGCCGACUGGCCCCUGGCCAUGGCUCUUGCUGGGAGCCGUGUGGCCUGGGCUUGGACCCACAUCCACCUCUUGCUGGCUGCCUGCUCUUGCCAGUGGCUGAGCCUGGCUUCUCCCAUGACAGUGGCCGCAGACAGAGGGGACCCGUGCCACCAGGCAAGGUGUCUGGGGGCGAGGUGAGAGUUCUGCCAAAGCCGGAGCCAGGGUUGGACCCCCGGAGCUCGUUGGUCGGCCCCUGGAGGGAGAGUGGUGUGUUCACACCACGGCCCUGGUGGCCCAGCUCUGCCCAUCUUCAUCCCAGGUGGCAGCUGCUGCCCAGCUCUCUGGCCAGUGCCUCUUAGAUGGUGUCACCACCUGCAGAAGAAAACAGAAGUGCUGACUAAUAUUUGAUGAAGGCCUGCUAUGCCGGCGGCACCUGAUGUGGCAGGUGAAGUCCGGGGGGCAGCAGCCAAGGCUGCCUGUUCCUCAGUGUCCCUGCGCGUGAGACGGGCAUAGCUAACUCCUGUGGCCACCUUGAGGGUAAGAUGCUUCCUGCAGGUGCUUGGACCAGUAUCUGGCACGGGGCAGGUGCUCAGCGAAAGUUCCUUAUUAAUCCCUGUACCUUUCACUGUUGGAAGUAACUCAGGACAUUGGCUUGGUGGUUACACAAGCACUGUGGGAGAAGGUGGUGUAUCUGUUCACCCUGGGUCCCAGUGGCUGAGGCAGAGCCAGCCAUGCAGGAGGCAGGCGUCCAGUAUGUAUAUUGGAUGGAAGGUUGAAUUGCAUAAUAAAAUAUAUUAAAGAUU
rnacentral:lncRNA from 1 species